GCAAACAGAGGCCAAAUCAAGAGAAUAGCAUUUGAAACCAAUGUGUCCUCAAUAUCAAAAGGUCCCAGGCACACAUGUGAGAACAUGUGCUCCCACCCCUUCCUGCCCCUGUCGCAGAAGACUGGCUUGGGGGAUUCGGAUCUCCUGGAGUGUCUCAGCUCCACCUCUGCUCUCCAGAGGCCCCUCCCUCUGCCAGCACCGAAAAGGGUAUCCAUUGAGACCUGAGAGCAACUGCUUGUGGUACAGUUGAGUCAGAGGACACGCUUCCUUUAAAGAUGGCGGAGAACUUUCACUGUGAGAACACUGGCAGCCUUCACGUCAGUUCCUCGGAGCCAACAGCAGGAGCCCUCAGAGCUUUGCCAGCCCGAGAAUGAACCAGGAGCUCCACCUGACAGGUGGUUAAACAGACCAACUGUGCAACAUAACUGGACCCGCUGGGCCACACCCACUUGGCCGUUUAGCCUGGGAUAGGAUUCUCAGAAAACAGUGAUGCUAAAUAGGAUACAAAAGUCACAGUUCCCAGAGGGACCUCUGGUGGAUGGAUGAUAAGGUCAGCUGAGUCACAGGCUGUUUGUCAAGGCUGUCGUAAAAAGGAGCUAUAUAAAGGGAAAGCAUGCUUACUUUAAUUUUCUCAAGAAUCACUGUUAUCUGGGUUUUCCAAAAAAAAAAAAAAAAAAAAAGAGAGGGAAAAAAAGGCUUUCUGAUUGUAGUUGUGGGGACAGGGUUUUGGGGAGGGUACCCCAAAACCCACUAUGUAGCUCAAGCUGACCUCAAACCUCUUGCCACCUUCUACCUCAUCUCACCACACCCCAGCACCCACCACCCCGUGCUGGGAUUACAGGUGUGCACCACCACAUCCAGCUUCAAGUUUGUUUUGCCAGGAGCUGCCCAGGAGUUUUCACUGUGCCAUGGAGACUAUCUGAACACUUCAGAACUCUGUUCUAUUGCCAUGCAAGGGAAAUAAAUGAACAGAGAGCUGAGCUCUGCCGACAUGCGCUCAAGGGCCUAAGGGUGGCCAGUGUGCCACCCCGGAUGUAGCUUUGGGAGCAGGCCGUCUCUCUCAUCCUUAGAUACAUUCUGCACAGGUUUGAAUUCUAUGAAAAGCAGUCAGCAUAGAUACGAAAAGCUGAAGUUUAAUUUGUCACCACGGCGACACUUCCUAUUUGAAUCAAUCACGUUCAUGGGAUGAGAACCAAGGCAGGCAAUUUCUAUACACAAAAAACCCCAAAGCAUCCGAAAGGUAUUUUUUGUAAAUGUCCUGUCAAGAAAGAAAACUUCCAGACACAAAGAAACAUAAGUGUACAUAUUUCCAGGAUUAAGACAUCAAAAUUCAAACCUCAAUCUACUCAUCCACGUAUUUUAAUAUAGGUUUGUUUAUAAAUAAAUACGUAUAUCAGAAAGG
ensembl:antisense Gm26632 predicted gene, 26632